rnacentral:rRNA from 1 species
UACGUAGGGUGCGAGCGUUGUCCGGAAUUAUUGGGCGUAAAGGGCUCGUAGGCGGUCUGUCGCGUCGGGAGUGAAAACCCAGGGCUCAACCCUGGGCCUGCUUCCGAUACGGGCAGACUAGAGGUAUGCAGGGGAGAAUGGAAUUCCUGGUGUAGCGGUGAAAUGCGCAGAUAUCAGGAAGAACACCUAUGGCGAAGGCAGCACUCUGGGACGGUACUGACGCUGAGACGCGAAAGCGUGGGGAGCGAACAGG